GAUGAACGCUGGCGGCGUGCCUAAUACAUGCAAGUCGCACGAGAAAGUCCUUCGGGAUGAGUAGAGUGGCGCACGGGUGAGUAAUACAUAGGAACGUACCAUUUAGUGGGGAAUAACCACGGGAAACUGUGGCUAAUACCGCAUGGUGUCGAAAGACUAAAGAGGGCCUCUACUUGUAAGCUCUCGCUAAAUGAGCGGCCUAUGUCCCAUUAGCUAGCUGGUGAGGUAAUGGCUCACCAAGGCAACGAUGGGUAGCUGGUCUGAGAGGAUGAUCAGCCACACUGGGACUGAGAAACGGCCCAGACUCCUACGGGAGGCAGCAGUAGGAAAUUUUGCACAAUGGGCGCAAGCCUGAUGCAGCAACGCCGCGUGAGUGAAGAAGGCUCUUGGGUUGUAAAGCUCUUUCGGCUGGGAAGAAGGGGUUGUCCGCGAACAGUUGACAAUUCUGACGGUACCAGAAGAAGAAGCACCUGCUAACUACGUGCCAGCCGCCGCGGUAA
rnacentral:rRNA from 1 species